UACGAAGGGGGCUAGCGUUGUUCGGAAUUACUGGGCGUAAAGCGUGCGCAGGCGGUUGUGCAAGACAGAUGUGAAAUCCCCGGGCUCAACCUGGGAAUUGCAUUUGUGACUGCACGGCUAGAGUGUGUCAGAGGGGGUAGAAUUCCACGUGUGAGCAGUGAAAUGCGUAGAGAUGUGGAGGAAUACCGAUGGCGAAGGCAGCCCCCUGGGAUAACACUGACGCUCAUGCACGAAAGCGUGGGGAGCAAACAGG
rnacentral:rRNA from 1 species